UGCUUAAUACAUGCAAGUCGAACGAGGAGCUAUUUUCUUCGGAAGAGAGUUUCCUAGUGGCGAACGGGUGAGUAACGCGUUGGUGACCUGCCUCGAAGUGGGGGAUAACAGUUCGAAAGGACUGCUAAUACCCCAUGGUAUCCGCAGGGUUAGAGACCUGUUGAUUAAAGGAGUAAUUCGCUUCGAGAGGGGCCUGCGUCCCAUCAGCUUGUUGGUAGGGUAAAAGCCUACCAAGGCUAUGACGGGUAGGGGACCUGAGAGGGUGGCCCCCCACAAUGGCACUGAAACACGGGCCAUACACCUACGGGUGGCAGCAGUAGGGAAUAUUGGACAAUGGGCGAAAGCCUGAUCCAGCAACGCCGCGUGCGCGAUGACGGCCUUCGGGUUGUAAAGCGCUUUUAGAGGAGAUGAGAAAGGACAGUAUCCUCUGAAUAAGCCUCGGCUAACUACGUGCCAGCAGCCGCGGUAAAACGUAGGAGGCUAGCG
rnacentral:rRNA from 1 species